GACGAACGCUGGCGGCGUGCCUAAUACAUGCAAGUCGAGCGAACAGACGAGGAGCUUGCUCCUCUGACGAUAGCCGCGGACGGGUGUGUAACAUGUGGAUAACCUACCUAUCAUACUGGGAUCACUUCGGGACACCGGCGCUAAUACCGGAUAAUCUAUUGCAGCACAUGGUUCAAUAGUGAAAGUCGGUUUUGCUGUCACUUAUAGAUGCAUCCGCGCCGCAUUAGCUAGUUGGUAAGGUAACGGCGUACUAAGGCGACGAUGCGUAGCCGACUUGCGAGGCGGAUCGGCGACACUGGAAGGUAUGCAGGGUCCAGACGACUACGAUAGGACGCAGUAGGGAAUCUUACGCAAUGGUCGAAAACCUGACAUAGCAACGCCGCGUGAGAGAUGAAGGUGUUCGGAUCGUAAAACUCUGUUAUUAGUGAAGAACAAAUUUGUAAUUUACUAAGCACUUCUUGACGGUACCUAAUCAGAAAGCAACGGCUAACUACGUG
rnacentral:rRNA from 1 species